UACGUAGGGUGCAAGCGUUAAUCGGAAUUACUGGGCGUAAAGCGUGCGCAGGCGGUUUUGUAAGUCUGACGUGAAAUCCCCGGGCUCAACCUGGGAAUUGCGUUGGAGACUGCAAGGCUGGAGUCUGGCAGAGGGGGGUAGAAUUCCGACGUGUGAGCAGUGAAAUGCGUAGAGAUGUGGAGGAACACCGAUGGCGAAGGCAGCCCCUGGGUCAAGACUGACGCUCCAUGCACGAAAGCGUGGGA
rnacentral:rRNA from 1 species